CGGCAAACCCAGGGCCGCUGAAGCGGAAUGUGUGAACUUAACCGCUGCGCCACUGGCCUGGCCCCUACUUGGCCUUUUAAAUACUUCUAAUGUACUAGUGCUUUACAGUGGUAGCCCUGCAAGCAUAAGCAUUCCAUAGUUCCUGUGCCUAGGGCUGCUGCCCAACCCUGAGGACCCUCAGCGUGGUGAGGAGAAGGCCAAGAAGUGGGUCUUCAUUUCCUGAAACAUCCAGAUACUCACUCCCAUGAAGCUCUCAAGAUGAUAUCAAGGGGGCCGGCCCUGUGCCAAGUGGUUAAAGUUCCGGGCACUCCAACUCGGCAGCCCAGGUUUGCGGUUUGGAUCCUACUUCACUCAUGAGCCAUGCUGUGGAAGUGACCCACACACAAAGUGGAGGAAGAUUGGCACAGAUGUUAGCUCAGGGCUAAUCUUCCUCACACACACUCAAAUGAUAUCAAGAUGACAGGAGCCUGGUUAGUGCCACUGAGGUCCCUCUCCAUCAAGAGAGAGUCCUAAGAGGAUGGGCCUAAGCUCCUCUGGCGUGAAAGGCAGCCGAGCCCUCAGGGGGUGUUGUUGGCCUCUCUUACCGCUGGCUGUGCUGGGGAAGCUUCUCGCCACUUCCCAAGCCUGGCCUCUAGAUAGAGGCCAAGACUUCGACUCGUUAGACUGUGCUCUGUUCUUGGAGCAUUUUGCUCCAGGUAGGGGACGUUGUAAAUUUGAAGGACCAGCACUGGAGAGAAGAUCCAGAGCUGGAGGAAACGAGCCAUCACUGAAAUGUCAAACAGGAUGAAGGUGAAAAAGAAAACUUGUAGCCAGAACAACACAUGCAGAGCACAGGGGACAGUGGCCACCUGGGGCACAGCCGUCCGCCUUGAUCAUUCCCUUCUGUUAUUUCAGUGUGGACUUCUAGAUCGUGGAGGAGUGGAGUGCAAGGAUGAUACCGUCCGUGGACUGAUAGCAGCUGUGUGGCCAUGUGCUUGGAGUUCUUACAUUAAACAGUACUUGCUUGAGUGUGCAGGGCCUCAGUGGAAUCAAUCUGUGUCACAGAAGGACUAAAGGACCAUGGUGGGCCCAAAAUAGGGGAAACAGGUAUAUUUAUAGCUUUUUCUAAGCCCAAGUAAAGGGGGUAAAAGAGACAUUCAUGGGUUUUUUUUUGUUUUAUUCUAGGUAUUAGUCAUCAGUUCAAUUUCAAGUAACAUAAAUGCACUCAAAGCAGUUCACAUAAUAGGAACUUAUUGGUCUUGUAACUGUUUAGCUGUGGACUUCAGGCAUGGUUACAUCCAGUAGCUCAAACAAUAUCUUUGGGGAUUUAUCUCUUCUUCUGUCCUUGCUGUCCACUUGUCUCUAAUUGUCUUUAUUCUACACUCAGGCUUCUUGCGUGUGGUGAACAUGAUUUCGGCCUCAGUGGCUAGACUUGUACCUCCUUGCUUGCAGCUCAGUGUGAAAAGGCUGAGGCACUAGUCAUUGCAGGCUGAGCACACUUAUGGAACCAGGACCCAGAUCAAGAAGGAAAACAUCUCCAGGACCCAGAAGCACCCUUCCUGGAGUCCCUCCCAGUCACUGGUCUCCUGCCGAGGGUGAGGACCAUCUUGACUUCGCUUUUCCUGUUUUUGUAACUCCUAUGAGUGUGAUUAUACAGCGUACACUCCUGAGUGUUUCUCUUCUUUUGCUCAAUGUUCUACCUGUAAGAUUUGUCCCUACUGUGUUUGUGGUUGUCGUUUGUUCAUUCUACAUUCUGGUGUGGUAAGGUGCCUCAUUGUUUAUUUAUUCAGUCUACACUCUGAGGGGAUUUGGGUGCUUGCAAUUUGGAGGUUUUACUGCUAUAAACUAUGAAUAUUCUAGCACGU